GAUGAACGCUGCCAGAAUGCUUAACACAUGCAAGUCGAUGGGGAAGUGGUGCUUGCACCCUGGCAACCAUGGCGGACGGGUGAGUAACGCGUAAGGGACUUACCUGCGGGACUGGGAUAACAGGGGGAAACUCCUGACAAGACCGGAUAAUGUCAUGGAGCUGCAUGGCUUUAUGAUGAAAGGAGACGCCUGCGGAGAGCCUUGCGUCCUAUUAGCUAGUUGGUGAGGUAAUGGCUCACCAAGGCGAAGAUAGGUAGCCGGCCUGAGAGGGUGGACGGCCACAAGGGGACUGAGAUACGGCCCUUACUCCUACGGGAGGCAGCAGUGGGGAAUAGUGGACAAUGGGGGCAACCCUGAUCCAGCAAUUCUGUGUGCACGAAGAAGGUUUUCGGAGUGUAAAGUGCUUUCAGCAGGGAAGAAGUAAGUGACGGUACCUGCAGAAGAAGCGACGGCUAAAUACGUG
rnacentral:rRNA from 1 species